rnacentral:lncRNA from 10 species
AACGUCCCCCACAGUUCACUUUCAACAACAAUCUACGGUGUCAAGAAUUCACUUCGAAAUGGAAUUCCCUGAUUCCAGAAGCCUAGGCGGGAGGAGUAUAAGCACAGCAGCUGCAGCAAGGCCUGGGCUCCAGGUCUGAAGGCUCCCAUGGUCCACCCGGAGAAUGCAGCAAGGAUCUCAGGAGGAGCUGGCUUAUAGAAGGUCAACUGUACAAUUUGUUAAGAAUUACUCCCAUAGCUGAAGUAUGCAUGGACAAAGCGCAAAGGACACUAAAGAUUAAGCUCUCAUCAGGCCAAGGGAGGUGCCAAUUCGAACAUCUUCUUUCUCUCUUCAAAGAUAAAAAUAUCAUCCAAGUAGACCCUACAAAGAGGGGCUAGUGUUUACUUGCUUUUUUCACCUGAUUCAGUGCAACCUGGAAUAGAAACUAUCUGCUCGCCAGACACAGUGGCUCAUGCCUGUAAACCCAGCACUUUGGGAGGCCAAGGUGGGCUGAUCACAAGGUCAGGAGUUCAAGACCAGCCUGGCCAAUGUGGUGAAACCCUGUCUCUACUAAAAAUGCACAGAUUAGCUGGGCAUGGUGGCAGGAGCCUGUAAUCCCAGCUACUCGGGAGGCUGAGAUAGAAGAAUUGCUUGAACCCAGGAGACGAAAGUUGCACUGAGCCAAGAUCGCGCCACUGCACUCCAGCCUGGGUGACAGAGCGAGACUCCAUCUCAAAAAAAAAAAAAAAGUAAAAGAAAAAGAAAAAAAGAAAGCAACUAUCUGCUCAUACCUAGCACUAUGGGAAUCCAAAACAUAUUUCUUCAUCGGUGUGUUUGUAUAUGAAUCUAAGUGGAAGAAAGCAGAUAAUUCUCCCUAAAAGACAUAUUUUGCAGCUAUCUGUGAAAAACAGGCAAGCCAUUGCUCGGCUAGUGCUGGUAAUCACAAAGCACUUUCCUGAAAGCUUCGUAAAUGCUUUUCGCCUUACAGAUAAGAGAUUUAAAGUAGACAGAAAUAAAUGACAGAGCUCACAGGGACUUACCUCUAUGGCACCGCCGCUUGCCUAGCAGGCUGAAAACUCCAGGCUUUUCACGGUCCCUGUCAGGUUUGACUCUCCUGCUGCCAGCCAAGAUGUGACAGCAAAUAGGCAGAGUGGAGAAAAGAAUGUGAACAGGAUUCAAGUCAGCCAGACCCCGGGUUGAACCCAGCUCUGCCACUGACUAUCUGCGAAGUCCAGCUUCUCCUAUUGUAAAAUCAGGAUGAUAAACUAAUACCAGAGUGCAGUUAGGAGGAGUAAAUUAAAGUGCCUGGGCUAGUGGUUAGAAAUAGGAAUUGGUUGUUUUUCCUGCCUGAAGCACAUACAUUACUUUUUAGCCACAUCUUGAAAGCAAUCUUAAUAUAACAACUUCCUUUUACACAACAAAGUAAGAAGCACCCUACAAAUGAUAUCCUACUCAGCCCUUUACCCAGCCCUUUACAUGCCUUCAAAUCCCUAGCAGUGUCAGUUGGGUUUUCAUGAACCCGGCAUCACAGAAGGCAUUGGAUACAUUUUCUUCCCUAGAUGUAUGCUCUCCAAUUUAAGAGAGCACCCAAGAAGCUGAGUUUACAAGAGAAGGGAUAUCUAGCAUGUUGACCGCUCAUUCUCAGUACUACCAGAGCUCUAGAGUAUCAGCAGAGCAUAGGUGAGAUAGAAAAAGCUUUUGGGAAUUCUUAUGUUAAUAAUUAGUUCGGUAUGGCUAAAAAGACAUUCCCCAUGUGUACCCAAUGGUAGUUUUUUUCACGGUGUUUCCUAUUUUUUAUUUUAUUUUAUUAUUAUACUUUAAGUUUUAGGGUACAUGUGCACAAUGUGCAGGUUAGUUACAUAUGUAUACAUGUGCCAUUCUGGUGUGCUGCACCCACUAACUUGUCAUUUAGCAUUAGGUAUAUCUCCCAAUGCUAUCCCUCCCCUGCCCCCAACCCCACAACAGUCCCCAGAGUGUGAUGUUCCCCUUCCUGUGUCCAUGUGUUCUCAUUGUUCAAUUCCCACCUAUGAGUGAGAAUAUGUGGUGUUUGGUUUUUUGUUCUUGCGAUAGUUUACUGAGAAUGAUGAUUUCCAAUUUCAUCCAUGUCCCUACAAAGGACGUGAAAUCAUCCUUUUUUUAUGGCUGCAUAGUAUUCCAUGGUGUAUAUGUGCCACAUUUUCUUAAUCCAGUCUAUCAUUGUUGGACAUUUGGGUUGGUUCCAAGUCUUUGCUAUUGUGAAUAGUGCCACAAUAAACAUACGUGUGCAUGUGUCUUUAUAGCAGCAUGAUUCAUAGUCCUUUGGAUAUAUA